CCUACGGGUCGCUGCAGUGGGGAAUAUUGCACAAUGGGCGAAAGCCUGAUGCAGCAACGCCGCGUGAGCGAUGAAGGCCUUCGGGUCGUAAAGCUCUGUCCUCAAGGAAGAUAAUGACGGUACUUGAGGAGGAAGCCCCGGCUAACUACGGGCCAGCAGCCGCGGUAAUACGUAGGGGGCUAGCGUUAUCCGGAAUUACUGGGCGUAAGGGGUGCGUAGGUGGUUUCUUAAGUCAAAGUGGAAAGGCUACUGCUCAACCGAAGUAAGCAUUUGAAACUGGGGAACUUGAGGGCAGGAGAGGAGAGUGGAAUUCCUAGUGUAGCGGUGAAAUGCGUAGAUAUUAGGAGGAACACCAGUUGCGAAGGCGGCUCUCUGGACUGUAACUGACACUGAGGCACGAAAGCGCGGGGAGCAAACAGGAUUAGAUACCCCAGUAGUC
rnacentral:rRNA from 1 species